UGCUUCUCUCUGGAGUUUUUUCUGUAAUAUGGGAAUACGCAGCAUGUAUCAUUAUUAAUGUGGCGGAGCUGUCACUGAUAAGGAAUCUGUGGAGGAAUACCAUGACUGGAUCUUCUGUGGCUCGCUUUCUGUCGUGUCCAUAUAACGAUGAAAACGUCUCUCCCACCCUCACGGUCCUGCCCCCCUCUAGCGUGGAGCUGUCCAGCAAGAGAACGGCCACGCUGAUGUGCCUGGCCAACAAGGGCUUCCCCUCAGACUGGACGCUGCGCUGGAAAGUGGACGGUAGCAGCAGGAGCUCGGAGGCGAGCGGCGGGGUCCUGGAGAAGGACGGCCUGUACAGCUGGAGCAGCACCCUGACUCUCUCUGUGGACGAGUGGAACAAGGCGGGGUCACUGACCUGUGAGGCCACCCAGGGCUCCCAGGCUCCGCUCACUCACACACUGAGGAGAGAGCAGUGUUCUGAGUAGCACCUCACACACUCCUGUGUAGAGCGGCUGAAUGCUCUGUUUUUACUCUCUUCUGCACUCAGCUCUUCUCUUUCUUACUCACUGAUUACUUGUAGACUAACAGUGUGCUGUGCUUCAGCUCAUGUGUGAAUCCAUUCUCCAGGCUGAGCUUUUAGCAGAACAAUCUUUCAUGUGCUCU